rnacentral:snRNA from 1 species
GUGCUUGCUUCGGCAGCACAUAUACUAAAAUUGGAGCGAUACAGAUAAAAUUAGCAUGGCCCCUAUGCAAGGAUUACAUGCAAAUUCGUGAAGCAUUCCAUAUUUAA